AUUGAACGCUGGCGGCAUGCCUUACACAUGCAAGUCGAACGGCAGCACGGGAGCAAUCCUGGCGGCGAGUGGCGAACGGGUGAGUAAUAUAUCGGAACGUGCCCAGUCGUGGGGGAUAACGCAGCGAAAGCUGUGCUAAUACCGCAUACGAUCUAAGGAUGAAAGCGGGGGAUCGCAAGACCUCGCGCGAUUGGAGCGGCCGAUAUCAGAUUAGCUAGUUGGUGGGGUAAAGGCCCACCAAGGCGACGAUCUGUAGCUGGUCUGAGAGGACGACCAGCCACACUGGAACUGAGACACGGUCCAGACUCCUACGGGAGGCAGCAGUGGGGAAUUUUGGACAAUGGGCGCAAGCCUGAUCCAGCAAUGCCGCGUGCAGGAUGAAGGCCUUCGGGUUGUAAACUGCUUUUGUACGGAACGAAACGGCCCUUUCUAAUACAGGGGGCUAAUGACGGUACCGUAAGAAUAAGCACCGGCUAACUACGUGCCAGCAGCCGCGGUAAAAC
rnacentral:rRNA from 1 species